CCUACGGGAGGCAGCAGUAGGGAAUAUUGCUCAAUGGGGGAAACCCUGAAGCAGCAACGCCGCGUGGAGGAUGAAGGUUUUCGGAUUGUAAACUCCUUUUGUUAGAGAAGAUAAUGACGGUAUCUAACGAAUAAGCACUGGCUAACUCCGUGCCAGCAGCCGCGGUAAUACGGAGGGUGCAAGCGUUACUCGGAAUUACUGGGCGUAAAGAGCGCGUAGGCGGGAGAGCAAGUCAGAUGUGAAAUCCUAGGGCUUAACCAUAGAACUGCAUUUGAUACUGUUCUUCUAGAGUAUGGGAGAGGUAGGUAGAAUUCUAGGUGUAGGGGUAAAAUGCGUAGAGAUGAGGAGGAAUACUCAUUGCGAAGGCGACCUCCUAGACAAAGACUGACGCUGAUGUGCGAAAGCGUGGGGAGCAAACAGGAUUAGAUACCCCAGUAGUC
rnacentral:rRNA from 1 species